rnacentral:rRNA from 1 species
GACGAACGGCUGGCGGCGUGCUUAAUGAAUGCGAGUCGAGCGGGAUCCGGCGGAUAGAAGCUUCGGCAGAUAGAAGCCGGUGAGAGCGGCAAAACGGGUGAGUAACACGUGGGUAACGUGCCCCUCAGACGGGAACAACAGCGGGAAACUGCUGCUAAUGCCCGAUGGUCCGGGAGAGCCGCAUGGCUUUUCCGGUAAAGCUCCGGCGCUGAGGGAUCGGCCCGCGGCGGAUUAGCUUGUUGGUGGGGUAACGGCUCACCAAGGCGACGAUCCGUAGCCGGUCUGAGAGGAUGGCCGGCCACACUGGGACUGAGACAUGGUCCAGACUCCUACGGGAGUUAGCAUCAGGGAAUCUUGCGCAAUGGGCGAAAGCCUGACGCAGCGACGCCGCGUGAGGGAUGAAGGCCUGCGGGUCGUAAACCUCUGUCAGGAGGGACGAACACCAUGACGGUACCUCCUGAGGAAGCCCCGGCUAAUUACGUG